rnacentral:rRNA from 1 species
AGUGAACGCUAGCGGUAGGCCUAACACAUGCAAGUCGAACGGCAGCACAGUAAGAGCUUGCUCUUACGGGUGGCGAGUGGCGGACGGGUGAGGAAUACAUCGGAAUCUACUUUUUCGUGGGGGAUAACGUAGGGAAACUUACGCUAAUACCGCAUACGACCUACGGGUGAAAGCAGGGGAUCUUCGGACCUUGCGCGAUUGAAUGAGCCGAUGUCGGAUUAGCUAGUUGGCGGGGUAAAGGCCCACCAAGGCGACGAUCCGUAGCUGGUCUGAGAGGAUGAUCAGCCACACUGGAACUGAGACACGGUCCAGACUCCUACGGGAGGCAGCAGUGGGGAAUAUUGGACAAGGGGCGCAAGCCUGAUCCAGCCAUACCGCGUGGGUGAAGAAGGCCUUCGGGUUGUAAAGCCCUUUUGUUGGGAAAGAAAAGCAGCAGGUUAAUACCCCGCUGUUCUGACGGUACCCAAAGAAUAAGCACCGGCUAACUUCGU